rnacentral:rRNA from 1 species
UACGUAGGGUGCAAGCGUUAAUCGGAAUUACUGGGCGUAAAGCGUGCGCAGGCGGUUCGUUGUGUCGGCGGUGAAAGCCCGGGCUUAACCUGGGAAUGGCCGUUGAAACUGGCGAACUGGAGUGUGGCAGAGGGGGUGGAAUUCCGCGUGUAGCAGUGAAAUGCGUAGAGAUGCGGAGGAACACCGAUGGCGAAGGCAGCCCCCUGGGCUAACACUGACGCUCGAGGCACGAAAGCGUGGGGAGCAAACAGG